CUCAGGCCUUCCACAGCCGAUACUGACUGGCUUCGAGGCAUCUUCUUCAGGGACCUUUUUGAUGGAGAAAGCAUCUCUUCAUUGAAGAGGUUCCGUCGCACCUUUGUCACCUCUGAAAGCACGAGAAAGAGCAAAAAAUCUAGUGCGCAGCUCCUCCAACUGAUCCGUCUCAGUGCUUAAGGAAGCUGUGCUGUGAGCUGGGACUGAUGUCACAGAUGGAGGAAGAGUUGGAGAUCUGCUAUCCAGAGUCAUAGAGUCAUCACUGAAGAAGUCUGCAGGCAGAACAGAUGCCAACUUCGGAGGAAUCUGCGUACCCAGACUGUAGUAAAGACCCCCAAGGGUCUUCGGUAUGGAGUCUAUAUAUCUAGAAGGUACCACCAGAUAUACAAUAUAGGGAUAACAUUUAAUAUUUAAUCAUCACCAUAAAGCACUUACGAUACUAAGACUUCCUCAAGAAACUUUGUAAGAUACCCUGGGUCUUCAGUGAGAGACAAAAUGCGCAGCAUAUCGGUCAUCUGUAAGAGAAGAUCAGAUGGGGAGAAGUGUCACAGAUCAAACACUCCAAGACCAGCCUUAUGGUGUGAGCAAAGAAAAUUGGGCUGGGAAAGCUACGUGAUCCAGGUCAACAUUUCCAUUCCCAUCUAGAAGCCCAGCCCAGCCCUAUUUACUUGCCUCCUCCACCAGUUGCUCCAUUUCAUCUGUGCUGCUCUGUAGCGAGGGACACUGCAGACACAUCUCAAGGCGCAGAAAUACCUGAAGCUGACACCUACACAGAAACAGAUUGACAUCAUACUGUUGUCGGAGGGUUUUGCUGGUCUUCAGGAGAUGACUUCGGACUCCGUCCAGACAGGCCACCUGCAAAUACACAGAAACAUAGCACAGGGGCUCCAAGCUUAUCAUCUGAUCUCCGUAACAGCUUCUGGGGUACCUUCUCACCAGCUGCUGGUGGCACUCCAUCUGGCUGAAACUUUUGAGCCUUUACAUUCAGCCUUGCUACAUUCAACAUCUGCAGGGAGCGGGAC